CUCACUUCCAUCAAAAAAAUACACAUUUAAAUCAAAUAUCUACAAACAUACACUUAAGGUUAUUUUUUUAUAAACAUUUUCUGAUUUAACUUGCACCCAAACACUAUAGAAAUCCCACAAACUAUGUGCACAACUCCCCCUGUAUUUUCCAUGGCCUCUCCCAGAACCUAUAAAUGGUGUCUGGACCCCCGGGGAUGCAUUUGUCCAAACACCCUGGAGAGGACACAGAAAAGACAGACAACCACCCCAAUUGCUAAUGGAGAGCAGCUGUGGAGAGCCUUGAACAAAAGGCUACAUGCUAACUAUUAAAAUACCCAAUAAAUAUUCAAUAAAUAUUUUAAAAACCUUG